CGGGCAUGUAGCCGAAGCCGCGCCGGUCGUCGGCGGUGACCGGGGAGCCGUUCCAGCGGAUCUCGCCGCCGUUCAGGGCGAGGACGCCCAU
rnacentral:tRNA from 1 species